GGGGAAUAUUGGGCAAUGGACGCAAGUCUGACCCAGCAACGCCGCGUGAAGGAAGAAGGCUUUCGGGUUGUAAACUUCUUUUAAGGGGGAAGAGUAGAAGACGGUACCUGACGAAUAAGCCACGGCUAACUACGUGCCAGCAGCCGCGGUAAUACGUAGGUGGCAAGCGUUAUCCGGAUUUACUGGGUGUAAAGGGCGAGUAGGCGGGAUCAUAAGUCAGAUGUGAAAUCUGGGGGCUCAACCCCCAAACUGCAUUUGAAACUAUGAUUCUUGAGUGAUGGAGAGGCAGGCGGAAUUCCCGGUGUAGCGGUGGAAUGCGUAGAGAUCGGGAGGAACACCAGUGGCGAAGGCGGCCUGCUGGACAUUAACUGACGCUGAGGAGCGAAAGCGUGGGGAGCAAACA
rnacentral:rRNA from 1 species